rnacentral:rRNA from 1 species
GCCAGCAGCCAUAUCACUUUGGAACUCACAACUAGCAACCCACUGAAGCUAAGUAGGUGUGUGCCUGGUCAGUACCUGGAUGGGAGACCUCCUUGGGAAAACUAGGGUUGCUGCUGGAA